rnacentral:rRNA from 1 species
GACGAACGCUGGCGGCGUGCUUAACACAUGCAAGUCGAGCGGUAAGGCCCUUUCGGGGGUACACGAGCGGCGAACGGGUGAGUAACACGUGGGUGACCUGCCCUCAGCUCUGGGAUAAGCCUGGGAAACUGGGUCUAAUACUGGAUAUGACUCCACGGUGCAUGUCGUGGGGUGGAAAGCCUUGUGCGGCUGAGGAUGGGCCCGCGGCCUAUCAGCUUGUUGGUGGGGGAUGGCCUACCAAGGCGACGACGGGUAGCCGGCCUGAGAGGGCGACCGGCCACACUGGGACUGAGACACGGCCCAGACUCCUACGGGAGGCAGCAGUGGGGAAUCUUGCGCAAUGGGCGAAAGCCUGACGCAGCGA